rnacentral:lncRNA from 1 species
CAGUGUUUUCUACAGUGAAGCCUCGGGAGCAAACCUCUGCCUGCCCUUUUCAGUCACUCAGACGAGAUGUGCCAUCCUGCCACUCCUGGGGCUCCACAGAAACUGGGCUGAAUGCAAAAACUCCCACAGAACUCGGUCUUUCAGGCUGGCCAUAUGAGAUCCUGUGGGCAUCCACCAUGACUGCAGUCAAGAACACUACGCAAGUCAAGAACAAAGAGCUGGAAAUAGCAGCCCUCCGUAUCCGCAGCACGGAGGAAGGGGCGCUGUGCCCGGGCACAGCGCAGCCGUGGCACCCGUGGGUUCGGUCCCUCGCUGCUUGCGCUGCCAGCAGAGCCUCGGAUCCCCCUCAGCCUGUCUGGGCUCGGUGCGUAUUGGAAUUUCAUCUCCCCAGUCUGCUCCUGCAGACUUUUUUUUUUUUUAAUUCAUGUGGAAAAAAAAUAAUAAUGAGAGGGUAAAAUAAGCGGAGCGAGAGCGAGCAUCAAUAGCCCCAGCCCGUAGGCUCAGCGCCUUCCUGCAGAGCUCCCGCAGCAGGGCCCCGCUCAGCCCCGGCGCUGCCGCAGGGCCCCGGGCAGGGGCAGCACCCAGGGGUGCUGGGCGGGGGCUGAGCCCCGCUCCCUGCCCCGAGCCUUAGGGCCACGGCCGGGGGCGCUGGCACAGCCCCG